GGGACUGUCUAGGUGCUGAGCAAGCACUGCUGUAUGAGACAUUUGGGCUUCUUUGGCACCUUUCUUUGUCGUGGGCGCAGGAUCCUCUUGAAUGCAAAUGUGAGCCAUCCUGUCCAAGGCGAGGCCCCACCAAGCCGGCCGCUCCCAGUACUUUUGGCUGUGGCAUUUUCUCCGGUUCUUCCCCUGCAUUGUCAAAACGGGAACAGACUGCGCAGAAGGAACGCGUUUGGUGCGGAGACCAGAGCCAGGGCAGUAUGAGGCAGAUCCAGGCAAUCUGCUCUGCUCCUCCCAAGGAGAGAGGAAAGGCUUUUCUUUCUUGCUGACAACCAAGUCAGUGAUGAGAAAAUUGCUGGGCAACCAAAGCUAAGCCAAGCAAGAGAUGCAAAUCUUACACUGGUGAACUGCACUUGGCUUUAUAUGGCCUUGCGUGUGUGUGUGUGUGUGUGUGUGUGUGUGUGUGUGUGUGAGAGAGAGAGAGAGAGAGAGAGAGAGAGAGAGAGAGCUUGGAGAUAAUGGUAAUGAAGGAAAAUUCAUGAACUCUCAGCAAUAAAAAGCCAUUAAGUCCAAC
rnacentral:lncRNA from 1 species